CCUACGGGAGGCUGCAGUGAGGAAUAUUGGUCAAUGGACGAGAGUCUGAACCAGCCAAGUAGCGUGAAGGAUGACUGCCCUAUGGGUUGUAAACUUCUUUUAUAUGGGAAUAAAACGUUCCACGUGUGGGAUUUUGUAUGUACCAUAUGAAUAAGGAUCGGCUAACUCCGUGCCAGCAGCCGCGGUAAUACGGAGGGUCCGAGCGUUAUCCGGAUUUAUUGGGUUUAAAGGGAGCGUAGGUGGAUUGUUAAGUCAGUUGUGAAAGUUUGCGGCUCAACCGUAAAAUUGCAGUUGAAACUGGCAGUCUUGAGUACAGUAGAGGUGGGCGGAAUUCGUGGUGUAGCGGUGAAAUGCUUAGAUAUCACGAAGAACUCCGAUUGCGAAGGCAGUUCACUGGACUGCAACUGACACUGAGGCUCGAAAGUGUGGGUAUCAAACAGGAUUAGAUACCCUUGUAGUC
rnacentral:rRNA from 1 species